rnacentral:rRNA from 1 species
UACGUAGGGUGCAAGCGUUAUCCGGAAUUAUUGGGCGUAAAGAGCUCGUAGGCGGUUUGUCGCGUCUGCUGUGAAAACUGGAGGCUCAACCUCCAGCCUGCAGUGGGUACGGGCAGACCGAGAGUGCGGGUAGGGGAGAUUGGAAUUCCUGGUGUAGCGGUGGAAUGCGCAGAUAUCAGGAGGAACACCGAUGGCGAAGGCAGAUCUCUGGGCCGGUAACCUGACGCUGAGGAGCGAAAGCAUGGGGAGCGAACAGG